rnacentral:lncRNA from 1 species
CCAGCGUAUAAAAUAUUCACGAAAAUAUAUCAUUCGGAUAUAUUCACCGGAUAUAUCUUAUAAAGAUAUUAUAACAGAGAUAUGUCAAGUAAGAUUAUAUUUUAUUCUGUUUAUAUUACUGUUAAUAUUAUAUCAAUCCAAAGCCUAUAAAUAAAGGCCAGAGGAUUCCAAACAAGGUACGCUCUCUGAAUACACUUCACUCACACUGCAUACAACAUAUCUCUCAUCAGUUCUCUUCCAACAGAGAAUUUCUUAUACACGCCUAACUUGAGCGUCGGAGUGCCUUUUNANGUACCUCCCCCUCCGUCAAAGNUAGAAGACCACCGGACGGCUGAAGUCAACGUGAAGACGUACGGUCAGAAAUCAGGAAAAGCGGGCAGAAUCACAGAAGAAGACGUCCUCAAGGUUAGUACUUCGGUCCCAGUAAAUUUAUACCGUAACAUUUUGGCGCCCACCGUGGGGCCGA